rfam:Nosema ceranae BRL01 Nc001007, whole genome shotgun sequence.
GACACCUUGGCCGAGUGGUCUAAGGCGCCAGACUUAAGUUCUGCGACUCAACAGAGUUCGUGGGUUCGAAUCCCACAGGUGUCA